GGCAGAAGACAGCAAGACCAGAGACGUUAAGUAGAUGAAAGACCAAGAAAAGCGAGGGAGAAAAUUCAAUAUAUUUGAGAACAAAGGCAGCCAUUAACCUGUCCAUCUUCAGAACCUGAAUCGGUAGCCAAAUCUCAGCAGACAGAGCUACAUAAUGCCAGAUAAAUCUUCUUGCUGAAUGAGAGACCCAUCCUACCAGCAUAAACAACAUUUGAACACUCUAGCCCCCAGCCUUACCAGCCAGCUCUCCAUUCUCUACACACAGAGUCUUUGUUGGGACACUCUAGGCCAGUUAUUUCACCAUCCUGAGUCUGGUCCCUCUCUGAGGCCCAGGGACAAAUAUUCAGUUCAGGUUUGAAUUAAGGAAAGAUACUACUACCUUGAUGGGGGAUCAGGACCACAGGACCAAAUUGAACCAGGCAAGACUGAAGGGGCCAAGGGAUAGAGGAUCCCCCUCCCAAAGGAGCCAACUGGAAGGCAACAAUUGGGUGGCCUGUUAAAGAGGAAAGAAGCUUAGGACAGGGAGAAUGCCACUUUCUAGUAUUACAAAAAUAUCCUUUAGGCAAGGUGAGGCCUUUUUUUUACUCUGACACUAUUUUUUUUUAAACCAACCCUGAAAGAAAAAUGAUAGGGUCAAGGUUGGUCCAGGGAACAGUAGGUAGGGAAGCAGAUGAGAGGUUCAGAGCUCUGGAGUGUGAGCAAGAUAUUCUUCUUCUAGGCACCUGAGUUAUCUUCUUUCUAAAUCAGGGCGAAAUGUCCCUUUUCAUGUUUCCUGAGUAGUCAGGGAAGCAACCAACCAAAGUCAUUGGGAAUUAGAACUAAGAAUCAGACGGACCUGGUUUGCAUGCCAAUGGUGUCACUGGCUAGCCGUGCAACCCAUGGCAAGCCACUGCAAGUCUCAGAGCUUUGGUUUGCUUGUGUGUGAAAAUGACAAAUAUAGUGCAGGCCUAACAGAAGCAUGGUGAACAUCUGAUGAUGGAAUAUGUGCAAAGCGCUUAACGUAGUUCCUGGCACAAUAUUAAGUACUUCAUAAAUGUUUGCUGUUAUGAUUAUCAAUCAAAACACAGCAGUAAUAAAUUAAGGCAUGUUAUUAGACCUUAGCUUUCCUACCAAUAAAGAACUAGACAAUCUCAAGUGUUCCUUCCAGCUCUGCUGUUUAUCUGAAAAUUCACGACAGACACUCAGUGAUACAGAAAUGUGUGCUCCAGACCAUGUGAACUGGAGAAGAGAAUUUGGUUCUCUUCAGCUUCAAUUCACAUUUGGGUUCAUGUGUUUUGCUGCCUUCCUUCUUUUCUCUACGUAUUGACACCUAGGAAAACUCAAGAUGCCAGAGAUCCCUGACACCGGGCUCAUAUGGUAGGCUGCGUGAUGAUGGAGCCGAGAGCUUAACCGCCCAAGGACAGAGGGCCUCAGCAGGAACUUUGGGAAUCAGCAUAUUGAUACCUAAGUGGAGACCUCUUUCCAGACCCAGAAACUGGAGCACGCAAGGCCUUGGGGAAAUGACCAGCAAGUUCACAGCCCAAGGUUUCUCUGACUGGUUGGAGAGUCUAAUGUAUUCCGUCAUGCCGUCUAAUUCAGAGUCUCCUUGCUUUGACUGUCUGUCUCCUGCUUC
rnacentral:lncRNA from 1 species